rnacentral:tRNA from 1 species
GAGGGUAUAGCUCAGUGGUAGAGUGCAUGCCUAGCAUGUGUGAGGUCCUGGGUUCAAUCCCCAGCACCUCCG